GACGAACGCUGGCGGCGUGCCUAACACAUGCAAGUCGAACGGAAAGGCCCUGCUUUUGUGGGGUGCUCGAGUGGCGAACGGGUGAGUAACACGUGAGUAACCUGCCCUUGACUUUGGGAUAACUUCAGGAAACUGGGGCUAAUACCGGAUAGGAGCUCCUGCUGCAUGGUGGGGGUUGGAAAGUUUCGGCGGUUGGGGAUGGACUCGCGGCUUAUCAGCUUGUUGGUGGGGUAGUGGCUUACCAAGGCUUUGACGGGUAGCCGGCCUGAGAGGGUGACCGGCCACAUUGGGACUGAGAUACGGCCCAGACUCCUACGGGAGGCAGAAGUGGGGAAUAUUGCACAAUGGGCGGAAGCCUGAUGCAGCAACGCCGCGUGCGGGAUGACGGCCUUCGGGUUGUAAACCGCUUUCGCCUGUGACGAAGCGUGAGUGACGGUAAUGGGUAAAGAAGCACCGGCUAACUACGUG
rnacentral:rRNA from 1 species